GCACCCGUGAUGUAAUGGUAACAUCCGAGCUUCCCAAGCUCGUCAUGAGGGUUCGAUCCCCUUCGGGUGCUCAA
rnacentral:tRNA from 1 species